GCACCAACAUCUUCCGCUGAGCUGAUAGCCUACUUGGAGGGCUCUCGACCUGUCUAUCGGGACCUACGGGCAUAAAACACAGCGUCCCCAGGCAAAAGGGACAUCAGUACGGAUAAUGUACUGAGUAUGUAAGGCACAUAAAUAAAUACAUAAGAGACAAUGAAGACAUAUAAAGUACAUGACUUAACCUGUAAGUCUGAAUAAUUUUGUAAAUCAUAAAUUACUUUUAGCGUCAUGCAUAUGCGUAUGAAUAUCAUGUCGUACAUAGGUACAUGUUUCAUAACAUCAUCAGCCUCUGAGGGUAUCCCAUCAUAUCAUAUCGGCCACUGUGCGCAAAAUCAUCAUCUUAUACCAGCUGAUCAGGUGGUGGUGCGUAUAUAACGCCAUAACCUUUCCCAUAUCGCAUAUACAUAUAUAUAUACAUACAUAUAUAUAUGCGUAUAUAACACCAUUUGAAUACAUACAUAUAUAUACAUAUAUAACGCCGUUUGAAUCAUAUUUUAGCCACUGUGAGCAAUAUCAUCAUCAUAUACCAGCUGAUCAGGUGGUGGUGCGUAUAUAACGCUGUAACCUUUUCUCAUACACCAUAUACAUAUAUUUACAUAUAUACGCGUAUAUAACGCCAUCUGGUCAUGAGUUAAUGCACAUGUAUAAAUGAGUGAAAUACAUGAAAAAUACAUAAUAAUCCCGAUAUUUCUUCCGAAUAAACUUUUUCAACUGUGUAUUAUUCUGAGACCCAUGAACAGAAGAUAAUAUAUUAUGACACAUGGAAAUUUAAGAACGUAGAUAUCUCUAAUACUUCUAUGAAUAGAGUUAUUUAUGGAUUUUGUGCAUUUGCACGUUUCGUUCGUAUCGUAUGGAUCAUGCCAAAAGAAUAGAAGGGAUAACCUUAACAUACUUGGACCGAUUCUCUUGACAAUACCUCUAACUCUCUUUUAUUUGGAAUAAAAAGCAUUUAGUUGGUUGUAGCGUAGAGAACUUCAUCAUAAAACUCAGACAAGUGAAUAGGUAGGUUUCGACCAUAAAAAUAAGUUGGAACUUGGAUGGCUCAUUUCGGAACAAGCAGGCGACCUCCAGGAAGAUGAGAACCUCGCCAAAGGGUGAUUGAAAAGCUUUACAUUUUAGUGAGAACCAAUACUGAAAAAAAAUUUCUUCUUUGUGAAAACGGAGGUAACACCAUAUGAGAUGUUCAAUGUAAAGGCUUUCAAUAUGAGUAUAAUAUGACAGCUUUUUUUUUGUUUUUAUCCUUUGGUUUAUUUGUAAUCCUUUUUACGUGUAAUCAAGACAAGCCAUGUCUUAAGACUUAUCAAACGUUGAUGCCACUUUGGCUUGGCUUAAUGCCAUGUGGCAGCUCAUAAAGGAUUCUUAUCCACUUAUUAGAUAAUUAAGUAAUGUCCUAUUACCCGGUAAUUAAUCAAUUACCCGUAUAAUUUAAAAAUUAUCUCAAUUUAAUUAAAUACUACUCUCUUUUAACAUAUCUUUUACACCUUACUAUUAUGUCCAUGUAGUACUUUGUAUGAAACUAGUCCAUAAAUACCGGAUAUUUUAGCUCGGGCCGUAUUUUAUCCUAAAAUGCCAAACUUUGACAAAAAUUCAUUUUCUUAGACUUGCUCCCCCUUUCACCUUUAUGAAUUUACUAAUCACUUGUGAAAUAGCAUAAUCCUUAUAAUCCCCAAAUAAUCUUUUUCUUGGACUGAUGUCAAUUACCUUACGACAAAUUCAACGUAAAAUACUGCAGGGUGCAACAUCGUCGUAACUUAAUACUACGAAAUGUGACAUUACCGUAAUGUAAUACUGCUGGGUAGAACACCGUCGUAACUUAAUACUGCUGGACGUAAUAUUGACGUAAUAUUGCGGGGCGUAACAUCAUUCCCCCCUUUGGAACAUUCGUCCUCGAAUGUUGACGGAUGCUCUUAUCAAUUUCGUAACUUAUAGCUCUUGUGAAUACCUUAACACUCUUUUUACCAUUUAAGCAGUUACUCUGUGAAUAAAUCCAAAGUCUAGGAUAUUCCCCCUUUUAGUCUUUUUGCUCGUAUCAUGACCUGUGGUCGAAAUCUUCCUAAUCUUGCAACUGGGUGGUUACCUCCUAUCAUGCAGCCUGGUAUGGACCCUGGNNNNNNNNNNNNNNNNNNNNNNNNNAUUGCGGGGCGUAACAUCAUUCCCCCCUUUGGAACAUUCGUCCUCGAAUGUUGACGGAUGCUCUUAUCAAUUUCGUAACUUAUAGCUCUUGUGAAUACCUUAACACUCUUUUUACCAUUUAAGCAGUUACUCUGUGAAUAAAUCCAAAGUCUAGGAUAUUCCCCCUUUUAGUCUUUUUGCUCGUAUCAUGACCUGUGGUCGAAAUCUUCCUAAUCUUGCAACUGGUGUUACCUCCUAUCAUGCAGCCUGUAUGACCCUGGCUUUGUAAGUGCACUUAUGCGAUUCAUCUUUUCUUUUUCCCUUUAUCUUUUAGUCAAUCUCUAUGCCUUACUUUGUAUAUAUAGGGCUUAAUAGGAUGCCUCUCUGGGACUCUAUAGGUAUAUUGAAGUCCUUUGCUCGAUACUUUGUACUACUUGCGAAUAUGGCCAUAUCUUAUUUCAUAGAUUUGGUUACCCAUUCACAUGACUUUACUGCAUUUACAUGGGUUAUACUAUACCAUAAUUUUUUUUUGCUUCAACCGACCUUUACUGAGGUAUGCUUACCAAGUUCCCAAUUACUUUUGUUGCCUACCCUUUAGGUAUAAAUCUCAGUCCUUUAAUGCCCUUUCAUUACCGUUCGUCUUAAGAAUCAUGGCCUAAUCUCAUGUCAUACUUUGUAACUUAUAUCUGACCAUUGUUGAUUCGCCUCAAUGUUGAUAUAUAAUCUUUUACUUGAAGACUUGAAAUUUCUUACGUAAUACAUUACCGCUAGGGCUUACGUUCCAUCGAGGAAUAUUUGAAGUGAUUUUCCUGAUCCACUUAGGGGUGAUCUAUACUUCAAUGAUCGUAUUUUAUAGCAUCCCAAUGUGAUUCACUUAUGUGGGUAUUUUAAUCUUGUACAAUCCAUGAAAUCCUCUUCAAAUCAUUACUCACUGGAAGGCCUAAACGUCAUCCUUUAUCCCUCACAAUUACACCGUCAUUGUACUAUCAAGGCAACAUUCCAUCUUUUCUAAAUGUUACUAGGCUUAGACUAGUUUUGAGUUCAUUCAGGCUAUACUGAACUUUCUCACUUUAAAGAAACCAUCAGCUCUUCUCGUUUUCAUGGGCUUAAUCCCGAGUACUUAUCCAUUCUCGUCACCUUCUCACUCGCCUUUUCUUAUCCUUACUCCUAUCUUCCUAAAACCUUGUCGCUCUACCAUACUUUAUCUUGCAACCUACACAUAUUCAUUUUACUACUUGCAAACUUUCUUCAACUUGCUUGCACCAUAGACUUCCUUAUGUUAUUCUGGAAUAUCAAGCGAGAUGUCAUAUCGUCUCUAACUCUUCUAUACUCUUUUAACUACACCUCUCAAUACGUAGAAACCAUAGGCUGGAAGAUAUGUCACUAACGAUGCCGCUAUCAUUCCUGGAUAUUGAAUCCCCGUUAUUAUAACCUUCUAUCCAAAAUAUGGAUUAUUCACGAUCUUCUACCUUUGAGUAUCUCGUACGUUGUUCACCUUUACCUUACUUAUCUUAAAACUUUGCAUCGUAUCUUCUAUCUCUUCCGUGACCUUCCCUCCACAUAGGUAUAAUUCACAUCCAUAACUUGAAGCUCUAUUAUAAUACUCGCACCUCUGGUACAUACACAAUCCGGUGGGAGCUUCGUACUGACUUCUUAUGAGGUUGGUACUUCUUCUAACUGGCUUCCUUGCAGAGCCAUUAUAGAUUAUGGUCCUUUUGUUAUUUCUCUUGAAUGUCUUAUAUUAAGGGCGAUUCUAUCAUGUUCUCAAGCCCAACUUCUAUAAUUUUUCUAGGUCCAAUAAUCAGACUCCUGAUUUACUUAGGUGAUGUAAUCCUUUAGUUUCCUCUUCCUUCUGAUCAGCCUUUACGUAGGCUUAAGCUAUCUUCCGAUCCAUAGCUCAUGGUAUCAGUUAUUACCUUAGCCUUUCAUGGGCAUUAUGGAAUAUCCAUGAUACAAUCUUCUAACAAUUCAAUCCUUUGUCUAUGCCCCGAGCCCAUUCUUUCUUUUAACUUAUUACGGAGUCUUCUAUGGUUGUAUAUGCUGCCUGUAUAAUACUCCAAAAUCUUGAGUGUAUCCAUAACAUACUAACCCUGGAUCAUUGAUCAAAUAAUUCUUUCGUUCUAUCUUAGCUUUCUUUUAACGUAAGCUAUUACUUUUCCUGGUCUUUUUGCCCUCUUGUGAUGUCCAUACUUAGCUUAUCUUAGUGCCCACACUUGCCAGAGUUUUUACACAACUCAUAUGAUCUUCAAAUAUUUUUUUUGAUUUUUACUUCCCGUUCACUAGCCACGGUAGAUUCCUCUUUCUUAUGGAGGACGUAUAAUAUUGUUGUGAAACUGUUGUUACAAGACCAUUUCCUCUUUAGGUCACUGUGCUUAAGUUGAAGCCUUCUUCCUCAUUUCCUCAGCUAGUCCUUCACUGUAGUACUUAGGAAGAACCCUUGACUCUCGUAAAGCUGUGAGCUUAUUUUGAUGUCCUUGCUUUCCUAUAAUCAGAUGUAGUUGCUUACUUCCAUGUCCUUGUGCUUGUAUGAUUGCUUCUGAACUGAUAUUUUGACUGGCUUUCCAGUGUCACUUUCUUUUAUCCCCCUAACACUCAUACGGUACCUUUAACUACCCCAACUCUUGUUUGAAUAUAUCUCAAGUAUUAUAAUGAUAUUCUCCGAGGCUGAACUCUUCAUGUUGGGUUCUACUAUGUUUAUCUCACACGAUCUGAUGAUUCGUCUGUAACCUCAUGUUUAGCCAUAACUGGGAUCUUCCUGACCAAUUACUAACUACUCGUUGGCCCAUUCUCAUAUCAAUAUUCCUCAUAAUAUUUCUUGGGUUACUUCUUUUGUCUUAACUUACGUCUCACACUAGCUCCUUAUUUAUUAAUAACAGCUUGGGCAUGAACCUUUACUUCCUCUCCUUGAUGUCGUGCUUGCAUAAUAUUCUUGAAUCGUAGCGUAUCUGUAAGAUUGGGAUAAGUGCCCUCUCAUUCCUCUUUCAUUUAUCCCAUUCUUCCUUUACAAUUCCAUAGUCACUAGAACCCCUUUACUUUAACUUAAUGUCACAUCACUUCAUAUUCCCCCCUUUUGGGUUGUACUAAGAGAUGAAGCCAUGAGGAUCUACCUAUAGAUGUUUUACCUCUUCAUCUUUGGCUUCGUUUCUCUACAUCAAUGAUCUUUACUUGCCUUGCGGCAAUCCUUCUGUACCAAGGAUGACAAAUUCCCUUACUCGCGAGGGUGACACUUAAUAUAACUAGUACAUACAGUCCCUUAAGCUUAACUUGGAUCACAUUGCUUGCUCUAAGGAAGCAUCUUCCUGAAUGACCAUCCUCUGAAUUCAUCAUGAAUUUUCUUUUGUGGUCCAUUCUAUUACAGCCGGAAUGAAAUCUGAAAUUCCCAUGAUGCGGAGUACUUUCCAAUCAUUCAGUCCCUAAUUCAUUAUUAGUUUAUCUUGUUUACCAGCCCAUACUGAUUUCUAUUACUCUGGGGAUUAACUCUCCCUUUUGGUAGUUGCGUUGGAGUCACAAACUUAUUUCUCGAAAUGAUACCACUUUUGUCACGACCCAAACCGAUGGGCCGCGACGGGCACCCGGUACCUUACUCGAUCGAGUACCAAUGUAACGUAUCUUCCUUAUUACAUCAUCAUAUACACGUGACAUCCGGGCCUAAUAGGCCAACAUAUUCCCUUAUAAAGUCAAAACAUAGGCCGACAAGGCCGUACAAUCUUUUACGUACACAACAUAUGUCUACAAGCCUAUAAGAAUACAUAAAUACCAAAAAGGUCGGGACAGAGUCCCGCCAUACCAAUAAUACACGUUUAAAUCAUACUAACCAAACGAGCAACUCCGAAGCAAAUGGAGCGCACCAACAUUUUCCACUGAGCUAAUAGCCUACUUGGAGGGCUUUUGACCUGUCUAUCGGGACCUGCAGGCAUGAAACACAGCGUCCCCAGGCAAAAGGGACGUCAGUACGGAUAAUGUACCGAGUAUGUAAGGCACAUAAAUAAAUACAUAAGAGACACGGAAGACAUAUAGAGUACACGACUUAACCUGUAAGUCUGAAUAAUUUUGUAAAUCAUAAAUUACUUUUAACGUCAUGCAUAUGCGUAUGAAUGUCAUGUCGUGCAUAGGUACAUGUUUCAUAACAUCAUCAGCCUCUGAGGGCAUCCCAUCAUAUCAUAUCGACCACUGUGCACAAAAUCAUCAUCGUAUACCAGCUGAUCAGGUGGUGGUGCAUAUAUAACGCCAUAACCUAUCCCAUAUCCCAUAUACACACACACAUACACACAUAUGUAUAUAUAUAUACGUGUAUAUAAUGCCAUUUGAAUACAUACAUAUAUACGCGUAUAUAACGCCGUUUGAAUCAUAUUUUAGCCACUGUGGGCAAUAUCAUCAUCAUAUACCAGCUGAUCAGGAGGUGGUGCGUAUAUAAUGCCAUAACUUUUCCCAUAUCCCAUUUACAUAUUUAUAUAUACGCGUAUAUAACGCCGUUUGAAUCAUAUUUUAGUUAUUGUGGGCAAUAUCAUUAUCAUAUACCAGCUGAUCAGGUGGUGGUGCAUAUAUAACGCUGUAACCUUUUCCCAUACACCAUAUACAUAUAUUUACAUAUAUACGCGUAUAUAACGCCAUCUGGUCGUGGGUCAAUGCACAUGUAUAAAUGAGUGAAAUGCAUGAAAAAUACGUAAUAAUCCCAAUAUUUCUUCCAGAUAAACUUUUUCAACUGUGUAUUAUUCUGAGACCCAUGAACAGAAGAUAAUAUACUAUGACACAUGGAAAUUCAAGAACAUAGAUAUCUCUAAUACUUCUAUGACUAGAGUCAUUUAUGAAAUUGUGCAUUUGCACAUUUCGUUCGUAUCGUAUGGAUCAUGCCAAAAGAAUAGAAGGAUAGCCAUAACAUAUUUGGACCGAUUCUCUUGACAAUCCCUCUAACUCUCUUUUAUUUGGAAUAAAAAGCAUUUAGUUGGUUGUAGCGUAGAGAACUUUAUCAUAAAACUCAGACAAGUGAAUAGGUAGGUUCCGACCAUAAAAAUAAGUUGGAACUUGGAUGGCUCAUUUCGGAACAAGCAGGCGACCUCCAGGAAGAUGAGAACCUC
rnacentral:lncRNA from 1 species